UACGAAGGGGGCUAGCGUUGUUCGGAAUCACUGGGCGUAAAGCGCACGUAGGCGGAUUUUUAAGUCAGGGGUGAAAUCCCGAGGCUCAACCUCGGAACUGCCUUUGAUACUGGGGAUCUGGAGUCCGGGAGAGGUGAGCGGAACUGCGAGUGUAGAGGUGAAAUUCGUAGAUAUUCGCAAGAACACCAGUGGCGAAGGCGGCUCACUGGCCCGGUACUGACGCUGAGGUGCGGAAGCGUGGGGAGCAAACAGG
rnacentral:rRNA from 1 species